UACGAAGGGGGCUAGCGUUGCUCGGAAUCACUGGGCGUAAAGGGUGCGUAGGCGGGUCUUUAAGUCAGGGGUGAAAUCCUGGAGCUCAACUCCAGAACUGCCUUUGAUACCUGAGAUCUUGAGUUCGGGAGAGGUGAGUGGAACUGCGAGUGUAGAGGUGAAAUUCGUAGAUAUUCGCAAGAACACCAGUGGCGAAGGCGGCUCACUGGCCCGAUACUGACGCUGAGGCACGAAAGCGUGGGGAGCAAACAGG
rnacentral:rRNA from 1 species